rnacentral:rRNA from 1 species
GUGGGGAAUUUUGGACAAUGGGCGCAAGCCUGAUCCAGCAAUGCCGCGUGCAGGAAGAAGGCCUUCGGGUUGUAAACUGCUUUUGUACGGAACGAAACGGUCCUGGUUAAUACCUGGGGCUAAUGACGGUACCGUAAGAAUAAGCACCGGCUAACUACGUGCCAGCAGCCGCGGUAAUACGUAGGGUGCGAGCGUUAAUCGGAAUUACUGGGCGUAAAGCGUGCGCAGGCGGUGCUGUAAGACAGGCGUGAAAUCCCCGGGCUAAACCUGGGAAUUGCGCUUGUGACUGCAGUGCUGGAGUACGGCAGAGGGGGAUGGAAUUCCGCGUGUAGCAGUGAAAUGCGUAGAUAUGCGGAGGAACACCGAUGGCGAAGGCAGUCCCCUGGGCCUGUACUGACGCUCAUGCACGAAAGCGUGGGGAGCAAACAGGAUUAGAAACCCGUGUAGUCC